AACACAAAAAAGAGAAAACACAUCAGCAAAAAGAGAAAACACAAGGACAUUAACUGAAACCGGAAAACGUAGGGAGGUGUUUUCUCUUUUGCUGUUGUUUUUUCUCUUUUUGUGUU